rnacentral:lncRNA from 1 species
UCUUUAAGAUAAGCUGGGUACAUUUCUCUCUGACUAUAGAAAGAUUCUCAACUCACUCAGACUUAUUUAGUGCAUACAUGAAUAGAAUUAAUGUCACAUCAUGGCAGUGGGAGGGGAAUGUAGUCGGGCGAAGAAGUAGCAGAGAGAGAAAGCGUCACCAUCCUCUCUUCUCCCAUUAGGUGACACAUUCCUGGAACCAGAAAAUCUGUUUACGAUUCCAUACUGCCUAAGCAGCGUUGUUAAUUGGUCUUAAAUAACUGAUGUAGGGCUUUUGUUUUAAUGUAUCUUAUAGCCUGUCCAAUAAGAACAAUACACCUAACCAUCUACACAUACUUUUGCCAGCCUGUCCUCAGGUCUGAUAUUGUUGGUGGUGAUAUGAGUGGAGCCAUUUGAUGAAUUUACUGCCAGGUCCACAAGUGGGUGGUCGUGGCUCUUUGCUAUUAGGAAAAACCACUGCUACUCUUUAACCAGCAAGAAUAUUUUGGACCAACACUCAAAUUUUUAUUUUAAUUCUAGUAAUUUUUAUAGAGAAGCUAUACCUGGUAUUUCAGCACUUGCCACUAUGUAUGUAAGAUUUUGGAACACUGACUGGACACCAAGAGUUCCCAGCCUAGCUGGUUGAGAAUUGUUAAAGUUUAUAAUUCAUUUGACCUUAUUCUGCAUACGAAAUAUGAUGCUCUAUUAAAAACUGUCUAGUUGGUGACCGAUAUGGAUUGCCUAUUCCUCACCUUCAUGAAAAUAUAAUUUGAAGCAAGUUUUGAAGAAACUGUAGACCUUAGACAUGGAUCAGCAUAUUCUCUCUAGCUUUAGUAUUGAUCAGAACAUGACCUUUGUGGCCUCGCUGACCUCACUGUAAGAGUAAGAGGCCUUUCUGGGCUCUCCACCCUAGAGUCAGGGGUGCUCUUGGUGUUAACAAAAUAAGCAUUUCCUGCCAGAGGCUUUCCUCUAGCUAUUUUUCUUUAUCAAAGCAAAGGGAUAAGCUGUCCUCUUCGCAGUCAUGCUUUUUAAUGGCCAAUUUUCUAUCUAUUUGGUCCUUCUUCCACUAAAGAAAAACAAACUAUAAUAAUGUCCCUUUAGUUAAAGCAAAACUUAACUUGAUCUAGACUGACCAUUCUUACCAGAGUUCUUUCCCUUCUUUCUCUCCCAUGAUCCUUUAGCACUUCUUAAGUUUCUAACAAUACCUGACAAAAUUGUUUCUUAUAUACUAUCUAUAAAUUUUCCUGACAGAAAAAUAAUUUUAAGUGGACUCAAAAUGCUCUUAAAUUUUUUUUACAGUGUAGUUUCCUUAUAGCUUGUCAUAUCUGUUUUUCCUUCCUACCCUCCCUUGUAUCAUAUUUGCCUUAGAAAUUCCUACUGAGGGCAGCCUGGGUGGCUCAGUGGUUUAGCACUGCCUUCAACCCAGAGCAUGAUCCUGGAGACCCAGGAUUGAGUCCCACAUCGGGUUCCCUGCAUGGAGCCUGCUUCUCCCUCUGCCUGUGUCUCUGCCUCUCUCUCUCUCUCCUCUCUAUAUUCUCGUGAAUAAACAAAUAAAAUCUAAAAAAAAAAAAAAAAAAAAAAGAAGAAAUUCCUACUGAACCUUCAAGAGUCUCCUUAGGCUGUAUAAUGUAAUAGUUAUGAGCUCAGAUUUAUCAUCUUCCUGUACUUACUAGCUGAGUGACUUUUGCAAAUUAUGUAGCUUCUCUAAGUCUCCAUUUACAUGUCUAUAAAAUGGGAAAAUAAUAACAUUUAUCCAAUGGGGACUAUUAUAAGGAUUAAGUGAGGUAGUUCUCCUAAACAGAUAUUAAGGACUCAAUAAAUAUUAACUCUUCUUACUCUUAGGGAACCUUCCUUAUAGGUAGAUUUUCCAUUGCUUCCUCCCCUCUGAAACUGAGCUCAUUGGUCCUCCUGGGCUACCACAUUGCUCUAUACUUCCUUUUGAUGUUUGGUCUUAUGUCUGUCUCUCCCACUAGACUUUGAGUUUACCCAAAGCAGAUUUUUGCUUUCAUCUUUGAUUCCACAGUAUCUUAUCACAUGCCCAAUAGGUAUCUGUUGAACUGAAUGCAAACAAGCUUCUCUUCCUAUCUUUCUAGCACAGUGAUAUUUUCCAGUGUGAGGUCAAUGGGAAUGCUUAUUUAAAUACAGAUUCCUUAUUCUUCACAGUAUCAAAAUUGAGGAUUACUGAGAAUCUUCAUCUUUAACAAGCUUCUCAGGGAUUCUUAAACUCAAUAAACCACUGACCUCCAUCUUUUCAGCAUGUCCAUGUUUGGCAACCUGUAUCUGUUUUAGACCUAUGCCCCAGAUUCUGCCUAUGGAUUUUAAUUUACAAUCCAAGUUCUACAAAGAUAUUUUCAAAUAUUUUAAAAUCCCCAAAGUUCCCUAAAACUGGGGAAAGGAGUAAAGGGGUAUAAAUUAGACCCAGAUAUAAGAAAAGUACUGUUAUGAACCUAACGCUGGAAGGAACAAUAAUUGUGAUUUUCAAAAGCUCAGAUUGUUGAUAUGCCCAGAAAGAAUGAGGGUCCCAACUCUACCAUAGUGAUAUACAUACCGCAUAAAGAAAUUUUUCAAGCCUUUUGCACUCCAGGUCAAAAGUGACACUAGACCUAUGUGGUUGAGUUUCCCUUUUCUUCUGUGUUCGAGAAUAAAGUAUUAAGAGGGAUGUUAAGGAAGUACUCAUAGCAUCUAGUAUCAUAAUAGAUAAAAUAUCAACUCAGGUCUUCAUCAGUAUCAUUAGGGAGUAUGAUGGUUAAUUUUAUGUUUCAACUUGAUGCAUAAAAUUAUACCCAGAUAAUUUGGUUAAACAUUAUUCUUGGUAUCUCUGUGAGGAUGUUUCUGUAUGAGAUGAAUAUUUCAAUUGAUAGACUAAGCAAAGCAGAUUGUCUUUACCAGUGUGGCCUUACCUAGUCUCUUGAAAGUCUGAAUAGAACACAAGGCUGACUGAGGAAAAGUUAGCUCUUUUCUGCCUGUCUUCAGCCUGGGACAAUGAUUUUCUAAAUUCAGAUUUGAACUGGAACUAUACCGUUGGCUCUCCUAGGUCUCUAGCUUACUGAUUUCUCAGCUUCCAUAAUUGUGUGAGCCAAUUCCUUAUAAUAAAUCUCUUCCUUUAGAAGAGUAGCCUGUAUACUGCUAGCUAGUAAACUGUACACACUAUAUCUGUAUCAUCUCCUAAAGGUUAUUUCUUUGGAGAACUCUAUAGUCAGGGAACAUGUUUUAGAGGCUAAAGAAACUAUUACUUUGAUGAAUCAAUCUAGUUAAUCAGUUCUUUAUUAAACAUCUGGUAGAUUCAAAGCAAUGAAAUGUACCAUGUGCUAUGAGGACUAUAAAGAUAAAGAAGUUUCCAGCCUUGGAGUAAGUUUUUAAACUUGCUCUUAAACUAUCAUAGAGCAUGGGAUUUUAAGAGCUGCGAGAGAGGUUUCAGUGGACGGGGAGGUCACUUUGGCCAUGCAGUUCGAGAAUGGCUUAUAAGAUAGGCAGCACUAACUCAGGAUCAGUUUUCUGUUAAUGUCACUCAGUUUUCCAACUACUGUCCUUGUCUCAUUUAUAUGGAAACAACCUUGAACUCCUCCGGUUGGUAUUGUAGGACAUGUUAAAAUCAUGAAGGCCCUGUUCUUAAUGAAGAUUUAAUAGUCAUUCAAUCAAAUAACAGCAUCAAAAUAAAUAGAGCAAAAACUAUCAAGGAGAAAUAGACCGAAACACAUUAGUACAAGUAGGCUUUAAUAACUUUCCCCCAGUCCAUUGACAAAUUAAGUAGACAAAUGAGUAAGUAAAGAUGUAGAAGACCUAGAAAACAUAAUUAACAAGGUAGACCCAAUAUAGCUACAUCAAUCUACAGUGUGCUGUUCUCUGAAAACAGAAAACACUUUCUUAACAAGUGCUGUGUCACAUUUACAAAAGUGGAACUAUAUUAGGUCCAAAAGAAGGAUUCCAAAAAAUUCUAAAACCACAGACUACAUUCACAGAAUCCAGUAACAUGAAAGAUUAGUUACUAAAGUAGAAAACAAAGAUAUUUCUACCACUUGUACACUGAAACCUCUUUCUUAAACUGCUCUUAGUUUAAGUUACUUAAGUUACUUGGCUAAAAGUAAAAUUAAACUGGAAUUGGAAGAUAUAUAAAAA